UCGAGUGGGCCUGCCCUGCACUCCAGCGGGCCGGGAGUCUAGGGCCGGAGGGCCCUCGACACCGACGGCGGCGGCGGAGAAGGCCUGGCUAUGAUUUGGAGAUAAAGUAUUGCCUUCCCCCUUAACUUCAUCCCACUCCGGCGGCGCCAGAGAGCAGCCUUUGUGUGGGGCGAAUCGGUCAGUGUCGCGCUGGAAAUAAAGGAGGAGUUCGGCAACCCCUCGCUCUUUCUUUUCCUCUCUUUCGGGGAAUACGACCCGGGUUGGAGUGGAGACACAAAUAUGGCCAGAAGACUACACUGCGGCGCGCUCCUCGCCCGGGGGCGUCUUUUGCUUUGUCUGUUGCAGCCGUCAGCAUCCACCUGAGCCGCAGUUUCUCCGGCCCCGGACGCGGGGGCCUCGGCGGGGGCGGCGGUGGCGGCUGUUGCGCCACUUGGUGCGGGGGCGGCGGAGGCGGCGCGUGGCGGCUGCGGCGCGUGGGCCCGCUCGCCGCCUGCUGGGUGUCCGCCUGCCUGCUCCACACCGCGCUCAUCGUGGCCGCCGUCACGGCGUUCGUGGCGCAGUUUAGGAUCAGCGCCGAGGAGAGGAACCGGGACAUCCUGGUGGUGUCCAUGGUGCAGCUGGGGCUGUCGCUGGGCACGCUGGCCGCGGAGGCCGCGCUCGUGGCCGUCGAGUGCCGUCGCUGGCCGCUCAAGGCGGACUGACACGGGGUGCCGGGGGCGGGCCGGGGCCGAGGCGGGCCGUGCUCGGGGGCGGAGGGUCCGUCCCUGGGCAUCAGCGUGGUGGGCCUCACCGCCCCCGGCACCGCCCCCACGCUGCCGCCGCCGCCGCCCGAGGCCGCCUGGGUCGCAUGAAUGACCCGACCCCCGCGCCUCCGUCCUGGCGCUGACGUUCCUCUGGGAAUGAGGAUGUCAGGGCGCCGCUGAUUGGAGGACAUUUGGGCCCCCAGGGUCCGGCUCCUGGCAACGAGGGGCCAUCAGUGAACAUUUGUCUCGGGCGGGCGGCGUUACUCCUCGUUGAUGACGCGGGGCCCCUUCACCGCGGGCGCCUCUCACUGCGCUGCUCGGAGAUACCCCGUGGCCGGAGCGUGGGGUCUGCCCGGCAGCUUGGGCUCCCAGCCCAUCCGUUUGAACGGACGAUAUGGGCGUGUUGUGCGUCUUACGCCCCAGGUUUAUCAACGUGUAAAUAGUGUAGUCUUCAGAGAUCUUGUACUCUCUUGGUUCAAGAAACAAGAGUGUGGUUUUAAGGCAAUUAUACUGUUUGUGGAAUGAUUUUGAAUGGUUUUUGUAGUGAGGGACCAGACGAAAAAUGGAAGGUUAAAGUUUGUUCCAGUUAAAGCUACGUGUGAUUAAAGAGUUACUAUAUUAAAUGAUAGAGUUCGCGGCUACGCAAUGUCGUUACGUUACGCAAUUAUUUUGUACAAUCGCGCAAGCGCGUGUCAUAAUAUAUUCUGGCAAAUUAUGAUGAAAUAAAAGCGAAAGUUAAUCUUG